GUGGGGAAUUUUGGACAAUGGGGGCAACCCUGAUCCAGCCAUGCCGCGUGCGGGAAGAAGGCCUUCGGGUUGUAAACCGCUUUUGUCAGGGAAGAAAUCCUUUGGGUUAAUACCUCGGAGGGAUGACGGUACCUGAAGAAUAAGCACCGGCUAACUACGUGCCAGCAGCCGCGGUAAUACGUAGGGUGCGAGCGUUAAUCGGAAUUACUGGGCGUAAAGCGUGCGCAGGCGGUUUUGUAAGAUCGAUGUGAAAUCCCCGGGCUCAACCUGGGAACUGCAUUGGGGACUGCAAGGCUGGAGUGCGGCAGAGGGUGAUGGAAUUCCGCGUGUAGCAGUGAAAUGCGUAGAUAUGCGGAGGAACACCGAUGGCGAAGGCAAUCCCCUGUGCCUGCACUGACGCUCAUGCACGAAAGCGUGGGGAGCAAACAGGAUUAGAUACCCUUGUAGUCC
rnacentral:rRNA from 1 species